rnacentral:tRNA from 1 species
GGGGAUUUAGCUCAGUGGCACAAGAGCCUGCCUGGCAAGCAUGAGGUUGUGAGUUCGAUUCCCACCCCCCA